AAAUCCUCUUCUGCUUGUUUGCCCGUAACCUGUUUGCACGUAAGCAGCUCUGUCCUGAAACCGCGCGGAGAAGUUUUUUCUGAGCCCCGUGCUUGGCGCUCAGCCUCCCGCCGCUCCUCCCGCCGUCCUUUCCCCAGCUACGCCGCUGCUCCUCUUUCACCGUCGCUCGGGUGUGGAGUCCCGAUCAAAGCCAGUACUCCAGAUCGCAUCUGCCCUAACUCUGAAUAUCGGAUCUCUUAACCUCCCCUGUCCUGUAUUUUUGGUGCUCUGAGGAUCUAUCCUUCUUCCUCCAACGAUGAAAAUACUGAAGGCUGAUGCAGGAAUG